GAAAAAAGGAUAAAAGAAAUGGAAAGAUAUUCCAUGUUCAUGGAUUGGAAGAAUCAAUAUUGUUAAAAUGUACAUUACUACCCAAAGCAAUCCACAGAUUCAAUGCACUCCCUAUCAAAAUACCAAUGACAUUCUUCACAGCAAUAGAAAAACAAUCCUAAAAUUUAUAUGGAACCACAAAAGACCCAGAAUAGCCAAAGCUAUCCUGAGUAAAAAUAAACUGGAAGAAUCACAUUACCUGAUUUGAAAUUAUACUAUAGAGCUAUAGUAACCAAAAC
rnacentral:lncRNA from 1 species